rnacentral:rRNA from 1 species
GAUGAACGCUGGCGGCGUGCCUAAUACAUGCAAGUCGAGCGAACAGACGAGGAGCUUGCUCCUCUGACGUUAGCGGCGGACGGGUGAGUAACACGUGGAUAACCUACCUAUAAGACUGGGAUAACUUCGGGAAACCGGAGCUAAUACCGGAUAAUAUAUUGAACCGCAUGGUUCAAUAGUGAAAGACGGUUUUGCUGUCACUUAUAGAUGGAUCCGCGCCGCAUUAGCUAGUUGGUAAGGUAACGGCUUAUCAAGGCGACGAUGCGUAGCCGACCGGAGAGGGUGAUAGGCCACACUGGAACUUGGACACGGUCCAUGCUCCUACGGGAGGCAGCAGUAGGGAAUCUUCCGCAAUGGGCGAAAGCCUGACGGAGCAACGCCGCGUGAGUGAUGAAAGUCUUCGGAUCGUAAAAAUCUGUUAUUAGGUAAAAACAAAUGUGUAAGUAACUAUGCACGUCUUGACGGUACCUAAUCAGAAAGCCACGGCUAACUACGUG